rnacentral:rRNA from 1 species
GAUGAACGCUGGCGGCGUGCUUAACACAUGCAAGUCGAACGGAAAGGCCCAAGCUUGCUUGGGUACUCGAGUGGCGAACGGGUGAGUAACACGUGGGUGAUCUGCCCUGCACUUCGGGAUAAGCCUGGGAAACUGGGUCUAAUACCGGAUAGGACGAUGGUUUGGAUGCCACUGUGGAAAGUUUUUUCGGUGUGGGAUGAGCUCGCGGCCUAUCAGCUUGUUGGUGGGGUAAUGGCCUACCAAGGCGUCGACGGGUAGCCGGCCUGAGAGGGUGUACGGCCACAUUGGGACUGAGAUACGGCCCAGACUCCUACGGGAGGCAGCAGUGGGGAAUAUUGCACAAUGGGCGCAAGCCUGAUGCAGCGACGCCGCGUGGGGGAUGACGGCCUUCGGGUUGUAAACUCCUUUCGCUAGGGACGAAGCGUUUUUGUGACGGUACCUGGAGAAGAAGCACCGGCUAACUACGUG